UACAGAGGGUGCAAGCGUUAAUCGGAAUAACUGGGCGUAAAGGGUGCGUAGGCGGCCUGUUAAGUCAGGUGUGAAAGACGGUAGCUCAACUAUCGCAGUGCCCUUGAUACUGAUGGGCUUGAAUACACUAGAGGUAGGCGGAAUGUGACAAGUAGCGGUGAAAUGCAUAGAUAUGUCGCAGAACACCGAUUGCGAAGGCAGCUUACUAUGGUGUCAUUGACGCUGAGGCACGAAAGCGUGGGGAUCAAACAGG
rnacentral:rRNA from 1 species